GCAAUCGGCGAUGGUGUUCCUGCAGCGCAGCAACCCGCGAAAGCGGCCACCACCGGCGCCCACAGCACCCGGGCCGCCGCCGCCGCCGCCGUCGUUAGCGACAUCGUCCGCGCCCACCCCGGCCGAACCCUCCGUCGUCGACGCGGCGGCCGCGCUCCUUGCGGACGCCGGCUGCACGCUCCUCGUCCCGCCGCACCUGCCCCCUUCCCUCCCGUCGGCCCCCACCUUCGUACCCCGCCUCACCCGCGCGCUCGCCGCGGACCCCGUGGCAGACCUCCCCGCGCGCCUCCUCGCGGGGCUCGCCGCCUUCGCCGAGUCCCCCACGCGGCUGCGCCAGCUACUCCUGCCCACCUCCCCGCGGUCGCAGAGCCUGGCGCGGGUUCUCCUCUCCGUCCCCGCGCUCCAGCCCGGUCUCCUGGGGCUCCUCCUCGACAAGCUGCCCGAGCACUUCGACGACGACGCGCUCGAUGGGGUGCCUCUGCAGGACGACGUGGGGAGGCUUAUCGUUGCUCAGUUCCGCUGGCUUGAUUUCCUUGUCGAUGCCGACACCUUUGUCACCAAGCUCGUGGAGGUGCUGUCGGUAGCACCACCCCGGCUCAAGAAGGAGAUCAUCGGUUCGAUCCCGGAGAUUGUGGGCGACCAGAGCCAUGCUGCUGUGGUCUCCGCUCUGGAGAAGUUGCUGCAGGAGGACUCCCAAGUCGUGGUUGCUGUGCUCGACACUUUGUCAAACCUUAACCUCGACGCGCUGUUGCAGGAGCAGGCGGUUACAGUUGCAAUAUCAUGCAUCCGGACGAUUCAUGCAGAUCAGAUGCCACACUUACUCAGGUUCUUGUUGCUGUCUGCCACACCAGCCAAUGUUGGCAGGAUUAUAUCGCAGAUCCGCGAGCAACUGAAGUUUGUUGGUGUGGUGGAUCCACGUGCUGCUCGGAGCAAGAAGCUGAAAGGGAAGGCAUCAGCAACUAACACUGAUGGGGCAAUCCUUGAUGCCUUGAGAUCAGGCCUCCGGUUUAAGAAUAUGCUUUGUGAGGCCUUCUUGAAGGAGUUGAAAUUAGUUGACCAUGCAAGGGAUCACAAAGUGAUUGAUGUUUGGCUCAUCAUGCUCAUAUAUGCCAAUGGGGGUGCUCUGCAGAAAAGUGCUGAGAAAAUACUGAAAUCCAAGAUCUUACAAGGAUAUAUCCGGGAGACAUUGUUUCACCAAUGCAUUCAUGGAAAUACUGAAUUAGUAAAGCUCGUAGGCUCAUUGAUAACUCAUAUAGGUUCUGGGGUCAGUUACGAAGUUUCUUCUGCUUUGGAUAUUAUGAUUUCUUUGACAUCCAACAACUCUGAGGAACUCAUCCCUAUAGCUUCACAUAUAACUGGUAUUUUAGAUUAUCUGGAGAGUUUUCAUGAAGAUAAUCUUCGAAAGGUUUACGAGAUCUUCUGUCAAUUGGCACUGGCUGCUGGCUUCAAUACUAGUUCAGGUGGCUCUUCUGUUGCUAAUGAACUUCUUAUGGUAGUGAGAAAACAGGUUAGCAAUCCAGAUAUGAAGUAUAAGAGAAUGGGAAUAAUUGGGGCUUUAAGGAUAGUUUCAGCUAUUGCAGAUGCAAAUGCUGCUGUGAACUACUCAUCAUCUCAGCAACCAAAUUGUGAGGAGGCCCUGGGACUGCUAAAUAUGACUGUUAACUCCUGCAAAUUUGUGACGUUGCCCUUAAUUCUUCUCUAUGAUGAAUUAUCUGCUUUAUUUGAGAGCAAUGUUCUUCAUUCUGCAAUUAUUGAGUGGGUUGGAGAACAUGUUGCAGAAUUUGAUACCCUUUUUCUUGCUGAUCUUGAGGAUGGCCAGCUAUCAGAAAAAUAUCUCUGCGAGAGCAUUGAAGGGGAAUUAUGGAUGAACUUGGAUGGAAAUAUCUCCCCAGUAUGCGUAAAUAUUUUGCCACUAGUGUCCACCUCGCAACAAAGGUCUCAAGCCUGCUUGCAGAUCCUUCCUUCCCAAUUUCUACUUCUAACUACCAUUGAACGUUCAGGAAGUGAAGGCUCACUUGGUGGAAUAAAUGCACUCCUUGGCUGUCCUUUGCAUCUUCCCUCUACAAAGAACCUGGAUGAAUCUAGAUGGGGAAGCUUGUCAGCACUGGAGAAAAAAACAGUGUGUCACUCACUGUACUUUGCGAUAAACUGGAUUAGGGAGUUGCUUAAUGCUUUCAGCACACAAGUUGCGGCCAGAGUUGAUAAUGUGUCACAAAGAGUAAGGGAUGAGACAGCAGUUAAACUUUUGAAGCGUCUGAGAAAUCUAAUAUUACUCGAGAUUUUGUUAAACACCGUUCUUAAAAUUUAUCCUCUAUCUCUACCUGAGCUGCGAUAUCUUGGGAAUUAUUCUGGGUCAACUAGCAGCAGCAAGUUCAACACUGGGAAGAAAAUGGGGGAAGACAACAUGGAGGGCCCAUCUUCCAACAAAAGACAAAAGGGCCGCAAGGACAAAGCAGCUUCAGAUAAAUUGAAUUCUGAUGAGAAGCUCAAACAAUCUACGAUACUGGAUGCUUUUAAAAGAGCAGGUGUAACGAUCACCCAAGAAACAAAGAAAGCAUCUUCACGACCAUUGCCAAGUGGAAUGACGUCGAAGGAUGUUGAAAGCGAGGCUAAUAAUCCUGGUGAGCUUGGGCAUAUAGAUUUGAUGGCAGCACCAGUUCAGCUGGAUAUGCAAAGAUUUAAAUUCAGAACACUCCAUGUGAAUUGUUUAUCCUUAUUAAAGUAUUCAGAGUUUCAAGAUUCAACUUAUCCAUAUCAUGAAUCUGAGCUGCCUUUAUAUCUCUAUCUUCUACGUGAUCUAAACAACAAACUAGAUCAUGUAAACCCAUCAAGCAAGCCAUUUUUUAAUAAUUCUCAAGCAAAAUCCACUCGCGCUCAUUGCCAAAAGAGCACAGAAGAUCUUCUUAGCAAAAUCCAGCCACUAUUCUCGAGUCUACGGAAGCAUCUAGAUGGAUCAGUUUCAAUGAUGAAAGACAGAUCAGAUAGCAGCCCAGACAACUGGAGUUCACAUUCGGAUUCAGCAGGAAACCCGCACAUACCAUACGUGAUGGUCUCCAAGUCUUCAAUAGCCACUUCCGUAUUUAAGGAGGUUCUUGGCUGCUACAGGAAGCUACUUGGCACGCCAGAUCUAUUGAAUCAAGCAAAUAUGUCAGCUCUGAAGGAGCUGCUACAGACUUUCCAGCCAACUGAAAAUUUCGAUGAUGAUCUUUCUGAGUUCCGUCCACCUCUGGUCCCUAGUAAUGUUGAUUAUCUGUACUGUGGGGCAUUUAAAAUGUUUGAGGCUAUUAUGGAUGCAGUGUGUUUGUUCUCACACAUUUUGGCCUCUGACGUGCUAAUUACCAUGCAAUCUAUUUUAAAUUCCAUUAUCGUGCUGUUGGAAAAAUCUGGGGAAUCAAAUGGGAAGAAUAUGCAUGUAGGAUGCUCCAAAGAGAUUGUUCCCUUGGUAAAGAAGCAGCUUGGGUUAUCAGCUCAUAAGCUGCUAACUUCUGAUUUCCCUAAUGAAGAUACUGAAAAUGGAUGGCAGAGUAAAGGUGAUCUUAUACCAAGGAUAUUACAAAUAUACCUCAGGAAUAGUGAGUCGACUUCAGUUCUGCUUGAUGAGCUGGCUUGCUUGGUGUUGCCUCAGGUAGCUUCGCUCAAAAGUAAAAGUACCACCCAAGAACUGUCGCAUGGGUUUCCAACAUUGUGUUCUUCCACUUUCCACUCGUGGUACCGUGUGCUGCAUGAGGAGAAUCUUGGGAAUUUUAACAAGAUGAUCAAGCAAGCCUUGAAGACUACAUCACAAUCAGGAGUAGCAGUGGAAAAUGUUAUGGAUGAAAUUGUCAAAUCAGUAAACGUGUUUGUGUCUCUGACAAAUAUAUGUAAGAUUCACGAGAAGGUUGCUAUGCAUGCAAUGGCAGUUAAAUAUGGGGGGCGAUUCAUUGAUUCAUUUCUUAAAGCCUUCAACUUUCUGGAGACGCAGUUUGGGCAACGUGGCGACGAUAUAGUUCAAAUGAUAAAAGAACUUCAGAAAGCGACAAGAAUAAUCCAAACUAUAUGUGCAGAGGCAAAGGGUUACAAGCGAACAAUGAUCACGAGCAAGAUACCUGCCACAAAGAGAUCCAUGGAGCGGUUUCUCUUCCAAGUGAAGGCCCUCCUGGAACACUGCUCUAAUGUGGAGCGUUGCUGGAUUGGUAAUCUGAAGCACAAGGAUUUGCAUGGGCAUGUGGUAAGCUCUCAGGUGUAUGGCGACGUGGAUGACGGCCCAAAUGAUGCAGAACAAGAACAGAUGGAGACUGAUCCUGAAACUCCAGCCGACGAAAAUGAACAUCGUGGAUGAUGAUGAGACAGAAAACGAGGCAACACCAUUGGAGGAUUGACCUCACACACGGUACCAAUCUCGAAAUGUCUCCAAUGUAAUCAUAUAUAUUGUCCCACAGAUUUUACUCUUGACAUGUAUGUACAGUACAUUGCAAUGCACACCGUGCUCCCACGACAUACUGAAAUGCCAAUUCAGAAAUGUAAAUCAGGGUAUCAUCUGCUUUGCAUAGAAAGCUGGAAGUCUCAAUCAGGAAUUCAGGACCGCAUACACAGGGCAUCCUAUAUACAGAUCACCACCAUAUCUCAUUUCAUAACAUGUUAUAACAUAAAGCAAGUUCUUGUCACAUCAUAACAAAAGCCACAAGAACCAAACACGCAAACUCAUAGAUAGACAAACAUGGCUGGAGUAAGGAUGAAAGGGAAGCCUAGCAUUGGUGCACUGACGACGCUGAGAGCAAGAAACGCAUCAGAUGGCCUUGGCUGGCGCCGCGGCGGAGGCGGAGAGGUCGGCGAGUAGCGGCUCGCUAGUGGGUGGCGCGGUGGAGUUGGCUGCGGGGUAGUCGUCGGGGUCGUAGUUGGGGUCGAGGGCACGGUCCAUGGCGCGGCGGCCGGUCUCGAGGCAGGGCUUGCAGGCCAUCUCGAUGGUGAUCCAGCCCAGCACCACCGCCGCGAUCGCGAUCACCGCGGUCACCACCGCCCCCAUCGGAUCACAACCCUCCCUUGUGCGACUCGCUGGCCAAACGCGGAUCUGGAGGUUGAAGAUGACUGACUGGUUACGACAGUUAUUAGCCGGCUUGGUUGUCGGACUGGACGAGGAUUCUGCCGGCUCGCCGAAGCUUGUGCGGAUGGGCUCGCUCGUCUGGA
rnacentral:rRNA from 1 species